rnacentral:tRNA from 1 species
GGGGAUUUAGCUUAGUGGUAGAGCGCUUGCCUAGAGCGCUUGCCUAGCAAGUGCAAGGCCCCUGGGUUCGGUCCCCAGCUCCA